UUUCCUGUGGCUUAAUUGGUAGAGCAUUGUGCAAACAACGCAAGGGUCGUGGGUUCAAAUUCCACGGAAAA